rnacentral:rRNA from 1 species
GUAACUGCGAGUGAACCGGGAUCAGUCCAAACUUGUAAUCUUUGUCAAGUUGACAACGAGUUGUAGUUUGAAGUCCAGAUGUACGCGGCUGGCGUCAGUGCCCAACUAAUCCUUGAAUGGUUGACCCUGGAGGGUGAAAGUCCCGUACGGCACGCCACACGCCUGUCGUCUCUGCACUGGGCCAAGAGUCGGGUUGUUUGAGAUUGCAGUCCAAAGUGGGUGGUAAACUCCAUCUAAGGCUAAAUAUUGACGAGAGACCGAUAGCGAACAAGUACCGUGAGGGAAAAUUGAAAAGGACUUUGAAAAUAAAGUUAAAAGUGCGUGAAAUUGCUGACAGGGAAGCGAUUGGGUGGGCAGUGCCGGAUGUUGGCUUUUCACAUCGAAAACAUGUAGGUGUGCGAGCGUUGCAUCCGGACAGUCACGCAUUUAGAGCGACGAACUUUUUGUUCGUUAUGAAUUAAAUGCGCAA